rnacentral:rRNA from 1 species
AUGCAGGCAUCACGCCACCGAGCACUCAGGACGGGCCAUGGAGGAGACCUCUCUGCCUCCAACCAUAAGUUUCAGACAGACCCUGUCUUCUCCAGGACAUCCACCUAUACACCUCCUUCCAGUGUGCCUGAGGAGAAGGCCAGGAGCAGGAAAUCAUUCUGGGAAGAAGCUGCUACGACGAUUGCCGGAGCAUGCAACUGCUUUGCUCCUCGCCAAUCUGAAAUUAGGGAGGGCCAUGUCAAACCCUCAGAAGAUGCUCCUGAUGUGUCCACUAGUUCCAUCUCAAGAAUUUCAUCAGUAAGCAGCACAAGCACUAGUCAAAACAAGUCAUGGCAAGACCAGUUCUCAUAUCAGGAAGUUUGCCUGGCUACUUCAAACUUCAGUGAACAGAACAAAAUUGGGAAAGGAAAUUUUGGCACUGUGUACAAGGCGAAGCUCAGGGAUGGAUCCAUGAUAGCUGUAAAGCGAGCUAAGAAGAAUAUGUUUGACAGGAACCUAGCGGCAGAGUUCAGGAGUGAAAUCCAGAUAUUGUCGAAGGUCGAACACUUAAACUUAGUGAAGUUUCUCGGGCAUCUGGAGCAUCAGGAUGAGCGCUUAAUUCUGGUUGAAUAUAUCAGCAACGGAACACUACGUGAGCACUUGGAUGGAUCAAGAGGGGAACCAUUGGCAUUUUCACAGCGUCUCAACAUUGCCAUCGACAUAGCUCAUGCUGUUGCCUACUUACAUGGAUACACAGACAACCCAAUCAUCCACCGUGAUAUCAAGCCGUCCAACAUUCUCCUGACAGACCAGCUGAGAGCAAAGGUGUCCGAUUUCGGCUUUGCGCGCCUAUCCCCGUACGACACCGAAGCAACCCACAUCUCAACAAUGGUGAAGGGCACGGUAGGGUAUGUCGACCCCGAAUACCUGAACACGAACCACCUCACUGAACGCAGCGACGUCUACUCCUUCGGCGUCCUCCUCGUCGAGCUCAUCACCGGCCGGCGACCCGUAGAGCGCAACCGCGGCCGCCAGCAACGCCUCAGCACCGAAUGGGCGCUGCGGAAGUGCAGGGAGGGUGACGUGGUGGUGGCGAUGGACCCUCGGAUGCGCAGGACCAGCGCGGCGGUCGCGGCCGUGGAGAGGAUGAUGGCGCUGGCGGCCGAGUGCGCGGCCCCGGAGCGCGCGGCGCGGCCGGCCAUGCGGCGGUGCGCCGAGGUGCUCUGGUCUGUCAGGCGCGACUUCCAGCACGAGCAGCAGCGCGCCGGGGGAGCGGGAGCAGGAACGAGGCGGCGAGAUGGCUCCACCGCCACGUACGGGUCGUCGUGUAUGGAACAGUAG